CCUCCCGGCAGCGUCUUCAGGAAUUCGGAGAGGCCUGCGGGAGGGGGGAGGGAAGACGUCUCGGGCGGGUGGAGGAAGGAAGACCCCUUCCCCCCGCCUCUUCCGCCGCGGGAAAGCCCGCCAACACAGCAGCCCGGCCUGCCCCCGCAGAAGCACAGACGACGGGUAGCGGAAGCACUGCGUUUAACACACGCGGGCCGAUGGCCAAGUAACGCAAGUCCUUCGGAAGUCACCGGCUACCUGCCCCAGCUGUAGGCUCCUGGAGGCGGGAAACCCGGCCCAGGGACUGGCCCCGAGCCCCCCCGUGGCCUGCAGAGAACAGCCUGACUUAUGAGCCACGGAGCAUGCAUUCUACAUGUGCUUCAAACAUUUUCCCAGAGCAAAGGAUGUACUCUUUAAAGACAGGGAUGAAUGUCUCCCGAUCUCUGACACCAAUAUCAGCACUUCUUUGAAGACAAGUUUUUCUUCCUACAGAACCAAAGUCAAGUUGACCUGCUGUGUAUGUGCUAAACCAAGGAAAAACAUCUCCCUGUGACUUUGGGGGGAAAAAAUUGUAUUCCUGUCAGGCUUGACGCACGUUCUUUGAUCCAAAACGGUAUAUAAUCAUGCUGUAAACUACACUUCUCCAGAGUGCUUUCUUCCCUGUGCAAGAGAGCGCUUCUGGGCUAGUCCUCAAAUUAGCCUCAAUAAAUAUCACUGUAUCUUUUUUAUCUAUA